rnacentral:RNase_P_RNA from 1 species
GGAGUAGAACGAAUGGCCGCUGCCCUGCCUUUCGGGGGAGGGAAGAGGAAAGUCCGGGCUCCGUAGGACAGGGUGCUGGGUAACGCCCAGUCCCGGCGACGGGAAGGCAAGUGCCACAGAAAGGAAACCGCCCUGUCGGAUAUUUAUAAUAUCCGACAGGGUAAGGGUGAAAGGGUGAGGUAAGAGCUCACCAGUCUCGCCGGUGACGGUGGGAGCUAGGUAAACCCCACCCGGAGCAAGACUAAAUAGCGGAACGUUUGAGGGCUGUCCGUCCGAGUUCCCGGGUAAGUCGCUUGAUCCCGCUGGUAACAGCG